rnacentral:misc_RNA from 1 species
CAACCCUCAAGCCCCGCUUGGUGAUGGGCCCUGCCUGCGGGCGGGCCCGAAACUCGUGGGCGUCGUCGUUCGGCUCCAAGCGUAGCAAAACCCUCGCUUGGGCGCCCGGACGGCGGCCGCCCGGAACGAAUUUUUACAA